UUAAGUCGGUCGGUCGUCGUCGUUCGGUACAGACUUCAUCGGACGAAGAUUAGCCCGAUUUUUUGGAUGUUUUUCCGCGAUUUCCGCGAAAAUGCAAAGUAAUUUAUAAAGUGACCAUCCACCACGACAUCAUCCACAUCCACGGAACAUCGCCAGCAAAGAUUUUCAUAUGAUGCACCUACUGUCGAAGAAGCAGCGGAAGACUCACCCCAGGCAAAACAAUGUCGGAUCCGUGCGUUUCGCACGAAGCAAAUGGAGAAUAUGUACGGCAAAACUUCCACGACCGGUUGUCGGACUUCCCAAGCUGGAUGAUUUGCAUGCUAGCUAAUGAAUAGCAGAACGAUACUGGUUGGUAUUUCAGCGGAAUACCCAAAUUUGCUUCGUCGGAACAUAAAAUGAACUUAACCAUCUAAAUUCUUUCAAGACCAUCGUUGCGCCGCUCGGAUAUAACUCGUCUGGACCUGGCCUGCGAGUUUCAAGUAGCUGCUCACCUAUCGCCAUGUUAUUUCUUAAAAAAAUAGAUCCAGAA